rnacentral:lncRNA from 1 species
AUGGUUCUUGAUCCAAGAGCCGGGAAUGGCUUCCUGCUGGGUCUAAAGACAGGCGGCUUAGCUGGGCUUCAGUUGGGCCACAGGGUGACAGGUCUUACGUUUCAAGUUGGGAUCAGCUGCCUGAGGGAAAUGGCUGGGGAAACUCUCUCUUGGCUCCUUUCCUCAUGGAGGAUGGCUAAAGGAAGAGAAAGCUUAGAGCUGCUGAGCUGGGGUUGGUGCCUUAAAAAUAAUGAUAUAAACACAGCCCAGAAGUCGGCCUGUGGACUCCCUGACGGGGACCAGACGAGAAACACUGUCCUGACUUACCCCUCGGCCCACGCUCUGCCCUCAUCUAUCACCUCAGAAACUAAACAGCUUCCUCAGAUGGCCCCGUGGAACAUAAAUCACAAGGGCCCUAGCUUCCAAGAAACCUGUCCGCAAGUGCAGCCCUCCUGUUUCUUCCUCCUCGGCGCUCAGAACAAGGGGAGCUGGCAGGUGUGACGUGCAAGUGAAAUGAGAGAAUGCAGGUGGACACGUCCGUGAACUUCAGCUGCGGUGUCCUCCUUCCAUUGGCGGAAGACUGUUCCCGGGCCCGGAGAAGGAGAACAAGCAAACACCCCUUCUAAUUCUCAUCCCAAACAAGAAGGGCUGUGGGCCGGAGCCGUGAUGAUUUCGUAAAGCCCCAAGCUUCUUUCCCUGCUCGCUCUCACGCCAGAUCUGUGCCAGACUGGUUUAUGCUUGGCGACCUCAGUGACCUCCAACAUGCUGAGAUUCUCACGGCAGAGCCCAGCGGAUACCUAGACCCGGCUGGAGCAGAGACAAAUUCAAACGCUCUGGGCGGGGGUAGGAGGACAGUGAAAUACAGUGUGAGAAAUCAUCACAAAGAAUGGUUGUUCCAGGGGCGCCUGGGUGGCUCAGUGGGUUAAGCCUCUGCCUUCAGCUCGGGUCAUGAUCUCGGGGUCCUGGGAUCGAGCCCCGCAUCGGGCUCUCUGCN